rnacentral:rRNA from 1 species
GACGUAGGGCGCGAGCGUUGUCCGGAUUUAUUGGGCGUAAAGAGCUCGUAGGCGGUUUGUCGCGUCGGGGAGUGAAAACUCAGGGCUUAACCCUGAGCCUGCUUCCGAUACGGGCAGACUAGAGGUAUGCAGGGGAGAAUGGAAUUCCGUGGUGUAGCGGUGAAAUGCGCAGAUAUCAGGAGGAACACCGGGUGGCGAAGGCGGUUCUCUGGGCAUUACCUGACGCUGAGGAACGAAAGUGUGGGGAGCGAACAGG